rnacentral:rRNA from 1 species
GUGGGGAAUUUUGGACAAUGGGGGCAACCCUGAUCCAGCCAUGCCGCGUGCGGGAAGAAGGCCUUCGGGUUGUAAACCGCUUUUGUCAGGGAAGAAAUCCUUUGGGUUAAUACCUCGGAGGGAUGACGGUACCUGAAGAAUAAGCACCGGCUAACUACGUGCCAGCAGCCGCGGUAAUACGUAGGGUGCGAGCGUUAAUCGGAAUUACUGGGCGUAAAGCGUGCGCAGGCGGUUUUGUAAGAUCGAUGUGAAAUCCCCGGGCUCAACCUGGGAACUGCAUUGGUGACUGCAAGGCUGGAGUGCGGCAGAGGGGGAUGGAAUUCCGCGUGUAGCAGUGAAAUGCGUAGAUAUGCGGAGGAACACCGAUGGCGAAGGCAAUCCCCUGGGCCUGCACUGACGCUCAUGCGCGAAAGCGUGGGGAGCAAACAGGAUUAGAUACCCUUGUAGUCC